rnacentral:rRNA from 1 species
GACGAACGCUGGCGGCGUGCUUAACACAUGCAAGUGGAGCGACGAACCGGGGCUUGCCCCGGGGCAGAGCCGCGAACGGGUGAGUAACACGUGGGUAACCCACCCGAUGAUUGGGACAACCCGAGGAAACUCGGGCUAAUACCAAAUGUGCCCUUGGUCCAUGAGGACCUCGAGUAAAGAUAGCUUCGGCCUUCGCAUCGGGACGGGCCCGCGGCCCAUUAGCUUGUUGGUGAGGUAACGCUCACCAAGGCGACGAUGGGUAGCUGGUCUGAGAGGACGAUCAGCCACACUGGGACUGAGACACGGCCCAGACUCCUACGGGAGGCAGCAGUGGGGAAUCUUGCGCAAUGCGCGAAAGCGUGACGCAGCAACGCCGCGU